ACUGAUAACUACUUUGUUCAAUUUGAUACUCUGGAAUCUCACAGACUGAGUUUACAAGGGGUUUGAGGUACCAGACUAUUCCUGUGUCUAUGGAGAGGGGUUUGAACCCAAAGUGGAGGUGGAGCCACCUGUCCAGCCACCGGUACACCACAAGGAGGAGAUAACUGAUGAACUGAGCCGGCGUUAUGUACAACCAAUACAACUUACUGGAGAAUACAUUGUUAACUUGAUCAACCUUAAUGAUACUGCCUACCUCAUGUCUACUGAAGUGUCGUCCUUC